GAUGAAGAACGUAGCGAAAUGCGAUAAGUAAUGUGAAUUGCAGAAUUCAGUGAAUCAUCGAAUCUUUGAACGCACCUUGCGCCCCUUGGUUAUUCCAAAGGGCAUGCCUGUUUGAGUAUCAUGAACACCUCAACUCUUGUGGUUUCCCACAAUGAGCUUGGACUGUGGAGGUUUUGUUGGCCCUGUGGUCAGCUCCUCUCAAAUGGAUCAGCUUACCGGUGUUUGGUGGCAUUACGGGUGUGAUAAAUAUCUACGCUCGUGGUCGUCUCCAAAUAACCUCCAGUGAUGGAGGUUCGCUGGAGCUUAUAAAUGUCUCUCCCCAGUGAAGACAGCCUUUGAACGUUCGAUCUCAAAUCAGGUAGGACUACCCGCUGAACUUAAGCAUAUCAAUAAGCGGAGGA
rnacentral:misc_RNA from 1 species